GACGUAGGGCGCGAGCGUUGUCCGGAUUUAUUGGGCGUAAAGAGCUCGUAGGCGGCUUGUUGCGUCGGCUGUGAAAACCCGCAGCUCAACUGUGGGCUUGCAGCCGAUACGGGCAGGCUUGAGUUCGGUAGGGAGACUGGAAUUCCUGGUGUAGCGGUGAAAUGCGUAGAGAUCGGAAAGAACACCAACGGCGAAAGCACUCUGCUGGGCCGACACUGACACUGAGAGACGAAAGCUAGGGGAGCGAGUGGG
rnacentral:rRNA from 1 species